rnacentral:rRNA from 1 species
UACGUAGGGGGCAAGCGUUGUCCGGAUUUAUUGGGCGUAAAGAGCGUGUAGGCGGCCAGGGAGGUCCGUUGUGAAACUCGAGGCUCAACCUCGAGACGCCGAUGGAAACCCCCUGGCUAGAGUCCGGAAGAGGAGAAUGGGAAUUCCUGGUGUAGCGGUGAAAUGCGCAGAUAUCAGGAAGAACACCCGUGGCUAAGGCGGUUCUCUAGUACGGUACUGACGCUGAGACGCGAAAGCGUGGGGAGCGAACAGG